GGACAUAUAGCUCAAUGGUAGAGCAUCGGUCUUCGGAACCGAAGGUUGGGGGUUCGAGUCCUCUUGUGUUCG
rfam:Nosema ceranae strain PA08 1199 NODE_37, whole genome shotgun sequence.